rnacentral:rRNA from 1 species
UACGUAGGGGGCAAGCGUUGUCCGGAAUCAUUGGGCGUAAAGAGCGUGUAGGCGGCUUGGCAAGUCUGGUGUGAAAUCUUGCGGCUCAACCGCAAGCGGUCACUGGAAACUGCCUCGCUAGAGUCCGGAAGAGGAGAGCGGAAUUCCUGGUGUAGCGGUGGAAUGCGCAGAUAUCAGGAAGAACACCCGUGGCGAAGGCGGCUCUCUGGGACGGUACUGACGCUGAGACGCGAAAGCGUGGGGGGCGAACAGG